rnacentral:tRNA from 1 species
GGGCCCAUAGCUCAGCGGUAGAGCGGCCGGCUCAUAACCGGUUGGUCCUUGGUUCGAAUCCAGGUGGGCCCA